rnacentral:rRNA from 1 species
GAUCCUGGCUCAGGAUGAACGCUAGCGACAGGCUUAACACAUGCAAGUCGAGGGGCAGCACGGGAGUAGCAAUACUUGGUGGCGACCGGCGCACGGGUGAGUAACGCGUAUGCAACCUACCUAUCAGAGGGGAAUAACCCGGCGAAAGUCGGACUAAUACCGCAUAAAACAGGGGCACCGCAUGGUGAUAUUUGUUAAAGAAAUUCGCUGAUAGAUGGGCAUGCGUUCCAUUAGGUAGUUGGUGAGGUAACGGCUCACCAAGCCGACGAUGGAUAGGGGAACUGAGAGGUUGGUCCCCCACACUGGUACUGAGACACGGACCAGACUCCUACGGGAGGCAGCAGUGAGGAAUAUUGGUCAAUGGGCGGGAGCCUGAACCAGCCAAGUCGCGUGAAGGAAGAAGGAUCUAUGGUUCGUAAACUUCUUUUGCAGGGGAAUAAAGUGCAGGACGUGUCCUGUUUUGUAUGUACCCUGAGAAUAAGGAUCGGCUAACUCCGUGCCAGCCGCUGC